CAGGGCUUAAAUGUAGUCUGACAGGGGUGGAAACACCCCCUUCUUCGGACAGACUGCAAGGUGCUGCAUGGUUGUCGUCAGCUCGUGCCGUGAGGUGUCAGGUUAAGUCCUAUAACGAGCGCAACCCCUGUCGUUAGUUGCCAGCAUGUAAAGAUGGGAACUCUAACGAGACUGCCGGUGCAAACCGUGAGGAAGGUGGGGAUGACGUCAAAUCAUCACGGCCCUUACGUCCUGGGCCACACACGUGCUACAAUGGCAGGUACAAUGGGCAGCCACGCCGCAAGGCGGAGCGAAUCCACAAAACCUGUCUCAGUUCGGAUCGGGGUCUGCAACUCGACCCCGUGAAGCUGGAAUCGCUAGUAAUCGGAUAUCAGCCAUGAUCCGGUGAAUACGUUCCC
rnacentral:rRNA from 1 species